AAGGUACUAGUAAAACUAGUUAUUACGCCUCCUUGUCGAGGAGGGGUUUCAGGUUAAACCCCUGAGUAUCUUA
rnacentral:tRNA from 1 species